AGAGAAGCGGGUUGGCCUUCGUGGAUAUAAAGCCAAGAGAAACCAUCUUUCUCUCUCUUUCCGUCGUGCCUUCAAUGUGCUCGCGUGAGCUGGAGAAUGAGUUACAAACUAUUUAGGUCGAACCAUUCAUGGCGCAACCAUACGUUCUGCAUAUAUUCAGGUAUGUAUAAAACGUGGUCCAUGUCCACGAGGCUCCGAUCGAAGCCAGUCGUGCUCAUGUGGCACGAAUGGUCAAAAGGAAGCCAAGAGUAAGACUUUCACCGACGGUCGCUGUGCAGUUUGAAAAUGGCUGCUUUAGCAACAUUUAGGGGGAAGGACAACCAAAAUAUUCUCAAAGAAUAGGUUCCUUGGGACUUGGCAUAGAGACUGAAAAGAGGUGACCAUGGGUAACUAGACAGUCACGAGAGAAACGUGCUCAGUGAAAGGCAACACAUGGCUUCAUGACAAGAUCAUCGUUUUGCUGUUUGAGACCCAAACUACCUCAUGUAAAAGUACUCUGACCUGUUGGUGCUUGAAGUUGUCCUUCUGGAAGCUGGCCAGCAUGUGAUGGGUGGGUUCCAUAGUGUAGUGGUUAGCACGCCUGCCUCCAGAGCAAGCAGUCCUGGGUUUGAUUCCCAGAGGAACUACAAGUUUGAUGAGCCUUGUAAGUUGCUAAAUGUAUACAUGUUAAAUUGCUGCUUUUUGACAAUGCAUAAUAAACACUUAUUGGUAAA